rnacentral:rRNA from 1 species
CGGACGGGUGAGUAACGCGUGGAAAACCUGCCGUAUACUGGGGGAUAACACUUAGAAAUAGGUGCUAAUACCGCAUAAGCGCACAGCUUCGCAUGAAGCGGUGUGAAAAACUCUGGUGGUAUACGAUGGUUCCGCGUCUGAUUAGCUAGUUGGUGGGGUAAUGGCCUACCAAGGCAACGAUCAGUAGUCGGCCUGAGAGGGUGAACGGCCACAUUGGGACUGAGACACGGCCCAAACUCCUACGGGAGGCAGCAG